rnacentral:rRNA from 1 species
UACACUCCUACGGGAGGCAGCAGUAGGGAAUCUUCCACAAUGGGUGCAAACCUGAUGGAGCAAUGCCGCGUGAGUGAAGAAGGUCUUCGGAUCGUAAAGCUCUGUUGUUAGAGAAGAACACGUGCUAGGUAACUACUAGCGCCUUGACGGUAUCUAACCAGAAAGUCACGGCUAACUACGUGCCAGCAGCCGCGGUAAUACGUAGGUGACAAGCGUUGUCCGGAUUUAUUGGGCGUAAAGGGAGCGCAGGCGGUCUGUUUAGUCUAAUGUGAAAGCCCACGGCUUAACCGUGGAACGGCAUUGGAAACUGACAGACUUGAAUGUAGAAGAGGAAAAUGGAAUUCCAAGUGCAGCGGUGGAAUGCGUAGAUAUUUGGAGGAACACCAGUGGCGAAGGCGAUUUUCUGGUCUAACAUUGACGCUGAGGCUCGAAAGCGUGGGGAGCGAACAGGAUUAGAAACCCGAGUAGUCCC